GAUGAAGAACGUAGCGAAAUGCGAUAAGUAAUGUGAAUUGCAGAAUUCAGUGAAUCAUCGAAUCUUUGAACGCACAUUGCGCCCCCUGGUAUUCCGGGGGGCAUGCCUGUUCGAGCGUCAUUUCACCACUCAAGCCUCGCUUGGUAUUGGGCAACGCGGUCCGCCGCGUGCCUCAAAUCGACCGGCUGGGUCUUCUGUCCCCUAAGCGUUGUGGAAACUAUUCGCUAAAGGAUGUUCGGGAGGCUACGCCGUAAAACAACCCCAUUUCUAAGGUUGACCUCGGAUCAGGUAGGGAUACCCGCUGAACUUAAGCAUAUCAAUAAGCGGAGGA
rnacentral:misc_RNA from 1 species